rnacentral:rRNA from 1 species
GGGUUGUGAGGUUAAGCGACUAAGCGUACACGGUGGAUGCCCUGGCAGUCAGAGGCGAUGAAGGACGUGCUAAUCUGCGAUAAGCGUCGGUAAGGUGAUAUGAACCGUUAUAACCGGCGAUUUCCGAAUGGGGAAACCCAGUGCAAUUCGUUGCACUAUCGUUAAGUGAAUACAUAGCUUAACGAAGCGAACCGGGGGAACUGAAACAUCUAAGUACCCCGAGGAAAAGAAAUCAACCGAGAUUCCCCCAGUAGCGGCGAGCGAACGGGGAGCAGCCCAGAGUCUGAAUCAGUGUGUGUGUUAGUGGAAGCGUCUGGAAAGGCGUGCGAUACAGGGUGACAGCCCCGUACACAAAAAUGCACAUAUUGUGAGCUCGAUGAGUAGGGCGGGACACGUGGUAUCCUGUCUGAAUAUGGGGGGACCAUCCUCCAAGGCUAAAUACUCCUGACUGACCGAUAGUGAACCAGUACCGUGAGGGAAAGGCGAAAAGAACCCCGGCGAGGGGAGUGAAAAAGAACCUGAAACCGUGUACGUACAAGCAGUGGGAGCAGGCUUAGGCGUGUGACUGCGUACCUUUUGUAUAAUGGGUCAGCGACUUAUAUUCUGUAGCAAGGUUAACCGAAUAGGGGAGCCGAAGGGAAACCGAGUCUUAACUGGGCGUUAAGUUGCAGGGUAUAGACCCGAAACCCGGUGAUCUAGCCAUG